rnacentral:rRNA from 1 species
UACGAAGGGUGCUAGCGUUACUCGGAAUUACUGGGCGUAAAGCGCGCGCAGGCCGCUUUUCAAGUCAGGGGUGAAAUCCUAGGGCUUAACCCUAGAAUUGCCUUUGAAACUGUAAGGCUAGAGUCCGGAAGAGGAUGGUAGAAUUCCUAGUGUAGAGGUGAAAUUCGUAGAUAUUAGGAGGAAUACCAAUGGCGAAGGCAGCCAUCUGGUCCGGUACUGACGCUGAGGCGCGAAAGCGUGGGGAUCAAAC